rnacentral:rRNA from 1 species
CGCGUAGGCGGUUUUGUUAAGUCGGAUGUGAAAGCCCCGGGCUCAACCUGGGAAUUGCACCCGAUACUGGCCGACUGGAGUGCGAGAGAGGGAGGUAGAAUUCCACGUGUAGCGGUGAAAUGCGUAGAUAUGUGGAGGAAUACCGGUGGCGAAGGCGGCCUCCUGGCUCGACACUGACGCUGAGGUGCGAAAGCGUGGGGAGCAAACA